UCCUCCUAUGAAGGCGCAUCCGUGGUUCCCGGAUCCACGUAAGAAUUGAAUUGGAGGCACAGAAGUGUGGACUGGCGAGGUCUGGGGCCAGCUUGCUCCCAGCAGGCUCAAGAUCAACCAUCCCACUUAG